rnacentral:rRNA from 1 species
AAUGAACGUUGGCGGCGUGGAUUAGGCAUGCAAGUCGAGCGAGAACCCGCAAGGGGGACAGCGGCAAACGGGGUAGGAAUGAUUGGUGACGUACCCUCGGGACGGGGAUAGCCACGGGAAACUGUGGGUAAUACCCGAUGAUCUCCCAGGUUUGAAGACCUGGGUGCAAAGGUGUGAUUCCACCGGAGGAGCGGCCAAUCUGGUAUUAGCUAGUUGGUAGGGUAACGGCCUACCAAGGCUACGAUGCCUAGGGGGUGUGAGAGCAUGGCCCCCACCACUGGGACUGAGAUACUGCCCAAACACCUACGGGUGGCUGCGGUCGAGAAUCUUCGGCAAUGGGCGAAAGCCUGACCGAGCGACGCCGCGUGCGGGAUGAAGGCCUUCGGGUUGUAAACCGCUAUCAGAGGGGAUGAAGUUCUAGGAGGUUCUCCUUCUAGAUUGACAGAGCCUCAGAGGAAGCACGGGCUAAGUAUGUGCCAGCCGCCGCGGUAAUAC